GACGAACGCUGGCGGCGUGCUUAACACAUGCAAGUCGAACGGUGAAGCUCCAGCUUGCUGGAGUGGAUCAGUGGCGAACGGGUGAGUAACACGUGAGCAACCUGCCCCUGACUCUGGAAUAAGCGCUGGAAACGGCGUCUAAUACUGGAUACGAGAAGGGUCCGCAUGGGCACUUUCUGGAAAGUUUUUCGGUUGGGGAUGGGCUCGCGGCCUAUCAGCUUGUUGGUGAGGUAAUGGCUCACCAAGGCGACGACGGGUAGCCGGCCUGAGAGGGCGACCGGCCACACUGGGACUGAGACACGGCCCAGACUCCUACGGGAGGCAGCAGUGGGGAAUAUUGCACAAUGGGCGAAAGCCUGAUGCAGCGACGCCGCGUGAGGGAUGACGGCCUUCGGGUUGUAAACCUCUUUCAGCAGGGAAGAAGCGAAAGUGACGGUACCUGCAGAAGAAACACCGGCUAACUACGU
rnacentral:rRNA from 1 species